rnacentral:rRNA from 1 species
GACGAACGCUGGCGGCGUGCCUAAUACAUGCAAGUAGAACGCUGAAGGAGGAGCUUGCUUCUCUGGAUGAGUUGCGAACGGGUGAGUAACGCGUAGGUAACCUGCCUGGUAGCGGGCGAUAACUAUUGGAAACGAUAGCUAAUACCGCAUAAGAGUAGAUGUUGCAUGACAUUUGCUUAAAAGGUGCAAUUGCAUCACUACCAGAUGGACCUGCGUUGUAUUAGCUAGUUGGUGGGGUAACGGCUUACCAAGGCGACGAUACAUAGCCGACCUGAGAGGGUGAUCGGCCACACUGGGACUGAGACACGGCCCAGACUCCUGCGGGAGGCAGCAGUAGGGAAUCUUCGGCAAUGGACGGAAGUCUGACCGAGCAACGCCGCGUGAGUGAAGAAGGUUUUCGGAUCGUAAAGCUCUGUUGUAAGAGAAGAACGAGUGUGAGAGUGGAAAGUUCACACUGUGACGGUAUCUUACCAGAAAGGGACGGCUAACUACGUG